UAACACAUGCAAGUCGAGCGGCAGCGACAACAUUGAACCUUCGGGGGAUUUGUUGGGCGGCGAGCGGCGGACGGGUGAGUAAUGCCUGGGAAAUUGCCCUGAUGUGGGGGAUAACCAUUGGAAACGAUGGCUAAUACCGCAUGAUAGCUUCGGCUCAAAGAGGGGGGGACCUUCGGGCCUCUCGCGUCAGGAUAUGCCCCAGGUGGGAUUAGCUAGUUGGUGAGGUAAGGGCUCACCAAGGCGACGAUCCCUAGCUGGUCUGAGAGGAUGAUCAGCCACACUGGAACUGAGACACGGUCCAGACUCCUACGGGAGGCAGCAGUGGGGAAUAUUGCACAAUGGGCGCAAGCCUGAUGCAGCCAUGCCGCGUGUAUGAAGAAGGCCUUCGGGUUGUAAAGUACUUUCAGCAGUGAGGAAGGAGAUAUCGUUAAUAGCGGUAUCUUUUGACGUUAGCUGCAGAAGAAGCACCGGCUAACUCCGUG
rnacentral:rRNA from 1 species